GUAGUUGUGGCCAAGUGGUUAAGGUGGUGGACUAGAAAUCCAUCGGGGUCACCUGUGCAGGUUUGAACCCUGCAAACUACA